AAAUGUGGUACUCAUUUUUGUGCUUACUUUGACAGCACAUAGAGAAAAUUAGCAUGGCCCUGGGCAAGGAUGACACCUAAAAUUCAUGAAAAAUUCCAUUAUGGU